GACGAACGCUGGCGGCGUGCCUAAUACAUGCAAGUAGAACGCUGAAGAGAGGAGCUUGCUCUUCUUGGAUGAGUUGCGAACGGGUGAGUAACGCGUAGGUAACCUGCCUUGUAGCGGGGGAUAACUAUUGGAAACGAUAGCUAAUACCGCAUAACAAUGGAUGACACAUGUCAUUUAUUUGAAAGGGGCAAUUGCUCCACUACAAGAUGGACCUGCGUUGUAUUAGCUAGUAGGUGAGGUAAUGGCUCACCUAGGCGACGAUACAUAGCCGACCUGAGAGGGUGAUCAGCCACACUGGGACUGAGACACGGCCCAGACUCCUACGGGAGGCAGCAGUAGGGAAUCUUCGGCAAUGGGGGCAACCCUGACCGAGCAACGCCGCGUGAGUGAAGAAGGUUUUCGGAUCGUAAAGCUCUGUUGUAAGUCAAGAACGGGUGUGAGAGUGGAAAGUUCACACUGUGACGGUAGCUUACCAGAAAGGGACGGCUAACUACGUGCCAGCAGCCGCGGUAAUACGUAGGUCCCGAGCGUUGUCCGGAUUUAUUGGGCGUAAAGCGAGCGCAGGCGGUUUGAUAAGUCUGAAGUUAAAGGCUGUGGCUCAACCAUAGUUCGCUUUGGAAACUGUCAAACUUGAGUGCAGAAGGGGAGAGUGGAAUUCCAUGUGUAGCGGUGAAAUGCGUAGAUAUAUGGAGGAACACCGGUGGCGAAAGCGGCUCUCUGGUCUGUAACUGACGCUGAGGCUCGAAAGCGUGGGGAGCGAACAGGAUUAGAUACCCUGGUAGUCCACGCCGUAAACGAUGAGUGCUAGGUGUUGGAUCCUUUCCGGGAUUCAGUGCCGCAGCUAACGCAUUAAGCACUCCGCCUGGGGAGUACGACCGCAAGGUUGAAACUCAAAGGAAUUGACGGGGGCCCGCACAAGCGGUGGAGCAUGUGGUUUAAUUCGAAGCAACGCGAAGAACCUUACCAGGUCUUGACAUCCCGAUGCUAUUUCUAGAGAUAGAAAGUUACUUCGGUACAUCGGUGACAGGUGGUGCAUGGUUGUCGUCAGCUCGUGUCGUGAGAUGUUGGGUUAAGUCCCGCAACGAGCGCAACCCCUAUUGUUAGUUGCCAUCAUUCAGUUGGGCACUCUAGCGAGACUGCCGGUAAUAAACCGGAGGAAGGUGGGGAUGACGUCAAAUCAUCAUGCCCCUUAUGACCUGGGCUACACACGUGCUACAAUGGUUGGUACAACGAGUUGCGAGUCGGUGACGGCGAGCUAAUCUCUUAAAGCCAAUCUCAGUUCGGAUUGUAGGCUGCAACUCGCCUACAUGAAGUCGGAAUCGCUAGUAAUCGCGGAUCAGCACGCCGCGGUGAAUACGUUCCCGGGCCU
rnacentral:rRNA from 1 species